rnacentral:RNase_P_RNA from 1 species
GCUGCAGGCCGGGUUAUCGCGUUGGCCCUGCGUUUAUCAAAGGGCCGGGGAGGAAAGUCCGGACAGCACAGAGCAAUGCACCGGUGAAGAGCCGGCUUCCUGAUGCAGAUCAGGAAAGAGAUAGUGCCACAGAAAAUAACUGCCUCCUCUUUCCUUAGGGAAAGGCGGGGUGAGGUUGAAAACGUGGGGUAAGAGCCCACGGCCGGUACGGGUAACCGUAUUGGCGGGUAAACCUUGCAUGCUGAAAUGCCGAGUAUAGUACCGCCUGAGGGCUGCUCGCUCAAGGUACAGGGUAGGCAGAUUGAUCCCGAUGGGUAACUGCCGGGACAGAUAAAUGAUAGCCGUUUGUCAUGACAGGCAUGGCAAAGCACAGAAUCCGGCUUACAGGCCUGCAGUUAUU